rnacentral:rRNA from 1 species
UACAGAGGGGGCAAGCGUUGUUCGGAAUUACUGGGCGUAAAGGGCGCGUAGGCGGCCUUCUAAGUCAGACGUGAAAUCCCUCGGCUCAACCGGGGAACUGCGUCUGAGACUGGAAGGCCUGAAUCCGGGAGAGGGAUGUGGAAUUCCAGGUGUAGCGGUGAAAUGCGUAGAUAUCUGGAGGAACACCGGUGGCGAAGGCGGCAUCCUGGACCGGUAUUGACGCUGAGGCGCGAAAGCCAGGGGAGCAAACGGG